CUUUCUGGAAACAUCAGUCAAGCCCAGGAAGAGAAACAGAAGAUGGAUAGUGAAAUGGAGAGACUGAGAAAUGAGCUCGAUUCCACAAAACAACAGCUUUCUGGAAACAUCAGUCAAGCCCAGGAAGAGAAACAGAAGAUGAAGAGACCGAGAAAUGAGCUCGAUUCCACAAAACAACAGCUCCAGCAGGAGAAACAAGCAGCAGAGAACCUGAAGAAGCAGCUGGGGGAGAAAACCCGU